rnacentral:tmRNA from 1 species
GGGGUUGUACUGGUUUCGACGGGGGUUUUGCAAUUGAGGAAGCCAUCUGCGGGCCGGGACCGCAUAGUAAACCGGAAUCUAAAUAUAAACGCAGACAAAGAAUAUCUUUGCGCAGCCUAAGGGCUGCUGUCGGCCUUAAGUUACUCACAGCUUAAGUCACCGGCAUCAAAACCUGUGAGGCACUUCAUCCUCAAAGCUUUGAGGGGAUGAAAGAUUUUAUGAAGCUACUGAAAUCAUAAGCCUGUCAUUAGGCGUAUGACAGAGGGAAUGUCAGUAUAAUGACUGUGAUGGGAGAUGCCGCAAUGAAUAGGCUUUCGGACAGGGGUUCGAUUCCCCUCAGCUCCACU